CCUAGGUCUGCAUUUUAUAGACCAAAUUUACUGUUCUCAGUGCUGUGCUGUGUUAACUAUGUUGUAACGAAACAUCUUUAAUAGGGAUGUUGCAUUUGUUUUCAAUAUCUUCUCUAGAAAGAUGGAUUUCUCCUGUAGCUACAACCAACGCGGUGAAGCAGGCUUGUGUUUCAGCACCGCUGGAUGCUGCACCACAGGAGAAGGUGAAGAUACCCUACUUCAUGAUGGAUCGACAGACAUCUUUGGUGGAGUGACGAUAAAGAUUUCAGCAGUGAACAAAAAAUAAAGGCAAGGUUCUUUGUAAACUCGUAAGUGGUGAAGCACCUUAAAAAUAAAAGUGUGUUUUUUAUUUUUGUUUUUUUUGUAUAGUAAAGAGGGUAAGCAAUAGGUAGAACUGCGAAGAUGGAUUUGUCAUAUUAAAAAAAAAUCAAGAAAAUUAUUCUUGAGGCAACUUUUUAAAUGGGUAGAAUUUGAGCAGGAUUCCAUUUAUUGAGGCUGUAGAGGAGAAGGUUGUAGGAGUUACGUGAUAAAGGAUUGAUCAAGACAUUUAGUUGGAUGGAAAAGUCAUGUCCUAAUGUCAGGCAGGAAGGAGGGUGAAGUUAGAAUUGAUGGAAGAAAUAAAAAGAUGAGACUUGGGUAAUGGCCGAGGUUUAAGUCUAAACAUGGCGAUCACUGUUUUGUGAAGAUGAGUCAGGAGAAAAAAGGAUGCCUGGAGGCAAAAAGUGAAAGGCAUGCUUUGGUAAAACUGUUUUUAUUUAGUCUUAUGGUUGGACAUACACAUGAAAGAAAGGGACCAUGAUCUGAGCUUGGACUGGGGGGACAAAGCAGAAGGAAAGAGAGAGAAGAGAGGUGUUGGUCUGAACAUACCAGUUAAAAUCAUGCUUGAGAGUGAAUUUGCUUAAGGUAAAGUUCAGCCACAUACUUUCACAGCUUUCUCAAAUGUUGGUAGGUCCUCAGCUGUGUCUGAGAUCCACACCCUCAGUGCAUCAAGAAGUGGCACUGACACAGCUGCAGCUCUCUGAUUCUCUGUGUAGGACCACCCCAGUGCAGGGUGCACCUGGCUGAGCUCUGGCUUCCUGUUGUCAGCUGGGACAGACAACUGUGUUUUUCUGUCGUGCCUUUCCCAAGGAGACCUUCCUGGUGGAGGAAACAGAACGGUGUUUCCCUCUUUGUUGCCUGAGUGGCA
rnacentral:lncRNA from 1 species